CAUAUAGUUUACAUGUUUUUGAGCCCAAAUCCAAGGAAAUGUCGGACUUGGUUAAAUGUGAAAGAACAGUGGCAAAAAACGGCUAAUGAAUCCCUUUAUUCUCAU